CAGAUACCUCGGUAAUACAGAAUGGGUAAAAAAAUGCACAAAGCAGUAACAGAACAAUUUAUCUGAUGCAAGCAUCAACCAUGAGAAUAAGAAAGGAGGUUAGGUCCAAGGAGAAGGUAUGUUUGCAAUGUAACAAAUAAUUGCUGAAUUCAUGAGGAUUGGGAUGAAUCUUUUCUAUUCUUAAUAACUGUCC